CAAUCUCUAAAUUUCUCUCAUCCAUAUCACCUGCCAUUAAUCACAAACGGUGAUUUCAAGUUUAUGAUGUCUCAUCACUGUUGGAAAAGGAACGCUGAGAAAUAUCACGUUUCGUGUCUCUCAUCCUCGUUUUCAAUUCAUAAAAGAGAAGAAAGCAUAAACGGUAUAGUCGAUUUACUGGUCUUCUUUUGGCAAAACGUCAUGGUCUACUGCUCAAAGCUUUUGUCACCGAGUUGCUCUAAAAUGCUGUUGUCUAUGUAGAUCCGAAUUUCGGCUUAGAUUCAGGUUUUUUGUUCGACGGUGGAGUCAUCGGAAAUUAGAGUUUGUUCUUAAACAAAGAUGACGGACAUUGGAGCUGAGCAACUUAUUUUUGUGUUGAUAUAUUUCAAUGUAUUUUCAACAUAUCAUGCUGUAUUUUUAUGUAUUUCAUUGUAUUCAUUGUAUUCUUUUUCAUUGUAAUUCAAUGUAUCUCACUGAAAUGCAUGUAUUUCAUUGUACUCUCCGUUUAUGUUUAUCGUAUUUCAAUGUAUAACGCUAUAUUAUGUGUAUUUCAUUGUAUUCACUGUCUU
rnacentral:lncRNA from 1 species